GUUGUUAAGCAAAUCACUGCAGGCAUUAAUGGGUCACAUGGUUGUUUAGUGAAUCACAUGGUUCCCCAUUGAUUUUGCUUGCCAGAAGUUGGCCAGAAAGCACCCAAAUCAUGAUCACGUGACCUCAGGGAUGCUGCAACAGUCAUAAGUGUGA